rnacentral:pre_miRNA from 1 species
GAUUGCAAGGGCUAGUGAUUUGGCUACACGGUGCAUAUCACAGUUUCCUUGCUGUCCA